UGAGGGCGAGACUGCCCGGCCGCCAUCUUGGGUGAGGGCGAGUCUCCCUGGGGACCGGGGAAUCCUCAUGGCUGGAGGAAACCUUUAAAACCACCCAGUGCAGUGGUGCAGCCGCUCAAGCGCAUCACCCAGCGCCAGGUCCAGACCCUCCUAAACACCGCCGGGGAUGCUGGGCCGUUUCCUCUUGUCCUCCCAGCAGAAGAGACCGAGCCCAACUGGCUGCAGCCUCCUGUCAGGUGUUUGCAGAUAGCCAUGAGCUCCCUGAGCCUCCUCUUCUCCAGCCUCAACACCCCCAGCUCCCGCAGCCGCUCCUCACAGGAUGUUUUGGAGACCCUUGCUGCCCUUCUUCGGACACGCUGCUGCCCCACAAUGCCCUUUUUAAAAGCCAUUUUUAAAUAUCCUUGCCCUCCCCAUGCCCCGCUCAGGUCUGCCCGCAGGCUGGGCCGGAGGGUGCGAGCGAGGCAGGUGGUCUGGCGCUCCUGCAUGAGGGGAUCCAUUUAAUGCCAUUAAAACUAAUUGCUCUC